UACAGAGGUCCCGAGCGUUGUUCGGAUUCACUGGGCGUAAAGGGUGCGCAGGUGGGUUGGCAAGUUUGAUGUGAAAGCCCCGGGCUUAACCCGGGAAUGGCAUUGAAUACUGCUGAUCUGGAGGAUCGGAGGGGGGACUGGAAUUCUUGGUGUAGCAGUGAAAUGCGCAGAUAUCAGGGGGAACACCGGUGGCGAAGGCGGGUCUCUGGGCCGAGUACUGACGCUGAGGAGCGAAAGCAUGGGGAGCGAACAGG
rnacentral:rRNA from 1 species